GACGAACGCUGGCGGCGUGCUUAACACAUGCAAGUCGAACGGAAAGGCCCCUUUGGGGUUACUCGCGUGGCGGACGGGUGAGUAAGACGUGAGUAACCUGCCCUUGCCUUCCGGUUAACUACCGGCAACUGGGGGUAAUACCGGCUAGGAAUCCUUGCUGCCUGGUUGGUGUUGGUAAGCUUCGGUGGGUUUGGAUGGACUCGCGGGGUAGCUGCUUGCUGGUUGGGGAGUUGCUUGCCAAGGGUUUCGCGGGUAGGCGGCCUGAGUGGGCGACCGGCCACAUUGGGACUGAGAUACGGCCCAGAAUCCUGCGGGAGGCAGGCGUGGGGGAUAUUGCACAAAGGGGGGAAGCCUGAUGCAGCAACGCCGCGUGCGGGGUGGCGGCCUUCGGGUUGUAAACCGCUUUCAGCAGGGGCGGAGCUUGUGGUGACGGUACCUGCAGAAGAAGCACCGGCUAACUACGUG
rnacentral:rRNA from 1 species